AGUGAACGCUGGCGGUAGGCCUAACACAUGCAAGUCGAACGGCAGCACAGUAAGAGCUUGCUCUUACGGGUGGCGAGUGGCGGACGGGUGAGGAAUACAUCGGAAUCUACUUUUUCGUGGGGGAUAACGUAGGGAAACUUACGCUAAUACAGCAUACGACCUACGGGUGAAAGCAGGGGAUCUUCGGACCUUGCGCGAUUGAAUGAGACGAUGUCGGAUUAGCUAGUUGGCGGGGUAAAGGCCCACCAAGGCGACGAUCCGUAGCUGGUCUGAGAGGAUGAUCAGCCACACUGGAACUGAGACACGGUCCAGACUCCUACGGGAGGCAGCAGUGGGGAAUAUUGGACAAUGGGCGCAAGCCUGAUCCAGCCAUGCCGCGUGGGUGAAGAAGGCCUUCGGGUUGUAAAGCCCUUUUGUUGGGAAAGAAAAGCAGCAGGUUAAUACCCCGCUGUUCUGACGGUACCCAAAGAAUAAGCACCGGCUAACUUCGUG
rnacentral:rRNA from 1 species